rnacentral:sRNA from 1 species
CAUUAGCCCCAAUCGCAGCGGCAUCCUUUGCUUUUUUUAGACAAAGAUAUAGCGAAGACCGGGACGGUAU